AUUAACACAUACUUCAAAUUAUCCCUUUGCAUACAAAGAAAAACAAAUUUCCUUGAAACCCCUCCAAUGUUUCUUUACACAAAAUACACGGGACUGAUUUAUUCAUAACCUAUCUCAGGUAAACAAAUACUCCCUCCGUCCACGAUUAAUUGACAUAAAUUUCCUUUUCCGUCCGUCCAUAAUUAAUCGACACCCUAACUUUUUACUAUUUUUGAUAAUGGACCUCACAUUGCAUUAACUUAUCACACACAUUUUAUAUAAACUAAUAUACAAAAGUAGAAGUCAUAUUCCACUAACUUUUUAAACUCACUUUAUACUAUAAUCUUUAUACUAUAGUCCUUGUGUCCCACUCUAAGUGGAGCAUUUCUAAUUCGGUACGAGAUUUUAUGUAGUGUUAUUUUGAGAGUAAAUUGCAAAAAAUAAAGUUUCUAUAUUUAGAAAUGUGGCAUUCAGAGUGUCAUCUUCAAAAGGAAAAUGUGUCACUUAGAGUGUGACAGAGGGAGUAUUUCUUAAAACUCGUGCUAAGUCAAAAGGGCUCAAUUAAUCGUGGAUGGAGUGAGUAAUACCAACAAUAAUAAAAUUAAAUAAAAAUUAAACGGAUGUUCUUUCAGUCACAGACUCUAUUAAUAAGAGCAUAAGCACAAUCAAUGGUAAUGACAAAUCACAUUAGGUUAACCACUCCAACAAUAGAAAAACAAACAUAAAGGGGUAAUUCUUUUGUUGUUCUAGAGUAUAAUUAACGUUCCAUAAGUGUACUGGACUUUUUUUUUUGUUCCUGCUUUCGGAGAGACGCAUGAGGGUCAUGUGUCUCCCUUUUAUGAAACGCAUGACGGAGAUGCGUCUUUGGGUAACACGCAUGAGUGAGAUGCGUCGUUUAUUUUUUUAUUUUUUUAAAGACGCAUAAGCAUCAUGCGUCAUAGGGAGAGACGCAUCUUCCACAUGCGUCACCUUUUUUUAAAUAUUUUAUUAGACGACGCAUGACCGUCAUGCGUCUUAGGGAGAGACGCAUGAGGCUCAUGCGUCUCUAAUAUUAAACAAAACAGGCGCGAGGCGAAUCAGUAGCUCACAUUCUGCGCGAGAGAAAGAGGCAGACGCAAACUUAGGCGAUUUCUUGGCAAUUCCGGCGAUUUCUCGUCAUAUUUCGAAAUCAUGUAAGUAUUUGUGAGUUUAUAUUGGGGUAAUAGAAUAGUUCAACUUCCUCAAGUGGGUAUUUGUUAUGAUCCUCCUCGUGCGAGAGCCUCCAUCGUAUUGAAUUCGUGUGUUUCAUUCUCUGAAUUAGUUACAAUGAUAUGUGCUAAGAUAAUAAUAGAUUCAUAUCAACACUCCAUCGAAAUAUCAUAGAGGCAUUAUCUCUUUGGUACCGAUACGAGUUAUAUAUGUACUGGGGUUGACAGUGAUAAAA